AGUUCAUACAAGAUAUAAAACAGUAAAAUGACUGCAAAAAGAGGUUCAAUCAUUUUUGCUCAUGGAUGCAAAUUCUCCAGCCAGUACAAGAGUAUUGUUCCUUACUGUGCUUUGUAAAGAAUUGCAUGGAGUAGGAGCAUAGAAACUAAAAGCAGAUCUUCCAAGGUUGGUACUGGACGAACUUGCAGUGAAAGCCAGUCAUUAGACCAUCCAAAGGAUCAGAGGCCAGAAAGAGAAGGCCUUCCAUUUUUUAUAUAAAGGAUACAAUGGUGAGUGCUAUAGACCAGGAAUAAACCUAUGAGCAGAAAGAUCCGAAGGGGUAAGAGUAGAGGUCGACGCAUCCCUAUAAACCUCAUUGUCGUAAUACAUAACAGACAGAAUCCUUUUCUGACAUAUCUAGAAAAGUUGGAUCUAUUUGUAUAUAUUAAAGAAAUUGGAUGAAUUGCAAAAGAUUUUAUAUUUGAUGUUUGAAUUUGAGUUUAUCAGCUAACCUCUUCUAGCGGCUCAAAGGCUUCCUUCCUGGUUGGCAUUUAAUGUGAAACAUUUGCAGGAAACAUAGAGUUUCCAUGACUACAGCUUAACAACGAACAAAAAAACAGGAAGGUAGAACCAAUUAGAAUAACAGAGUGCACUCCUCUUUGUCUAGUGCUGGCCAUUUGAGGAGAGCUCUUCCCUGACCUUCUGCUGCGGAGAGUGAUGACAAGGACGACACAGCUGACCUUGACAUUCAGCAUGCUAAAUGGCUUCUUCCACAGCCAGUCAGCAAACACAGAGACAGGACCCGAGGAUGGGCCGGAACGAGGGAUGAGAGGAGGCGGAAGACGGAAGCGAGGAGGUGACCUCUCCAAAGUUUACCCAGCGUCCCCCACUCCCCUUCAUCCCCUCCCCACCUCCCCUCGA
rnacentral:lncRNA from 1 species